GGAUCUUGAGCUGGAUCACAGAAUGUGAGGGGAGCACGGGGCUGGACGAGCUGUGGGGCGAAGAAUUUGUGAAGACCAGAUCCCUGGAGAAAAAAGCUGUGUGCCGUUGGUUGACCUUGGUGUGAGUAACUCUUUGUCUUCAUGCUACAGCGCUGAAGGUGCAGGACAGAGAGCUGCCCAGGGCUCUGUAUCCCCUCGGCCUUGC
rnacentral:lncRNA from 1 species